CCCUUAGAUGUCCGGGGCUACACGCGCGCUACACUGAAGGAAUCAGCGUGCUAAAACCAUUGUCGAAAGGCAUUGGUAAACCCAUUAAAAUCCUACGUGAUUGGGAUCGGGAAUUGCAAUUAUUUCCCUUGAACGAGGAAUUCCCAGUAAGUGUGGGUCAUAAGCUCGCGUUGAUUACGUCCCUGCCCUUUGUACACACCGCCCGUCGCUGCCCGGGACUGAGCCGUUUCGAGAAAAGCGGGGACUGCUGCUGUCGGGGCUUUCGGGCCUUGGCUUCGGUGGAAACCGCUUUAAUCGCAGUGGCUUGAACCGGGCAAAANUCGUAGCA
rnacentral:rRNA from 1 species